rnacentral:misc_RNA from 1 species
UGCCACGCCCACCACGCUACUUUUCUAUGGGCCUCUCGUUAUGACCACUUGAUGCCGCUUCUCCUCUCUCGCCUCCCCGCACCGCUACACACAGUUUAGGCACCACAAUACCGUGCCGGCGAAGGACUAAGGUCCACAAGGCAAGGUAGCGUCGUUCUACCGAGAGGGACGAAGAGGAAAGCAGCGUACCCUUCUCGAACAGCUUUUCUUUGCAGAGCGUGGGGCUUUGCCGCACCACGCAAAUGCCGGCCCAACCCACCGCCUCUUCCGGCAACACUGCCCGAGAGAAGCGCUGCGGUUCUCACAAGAAGAAUGAUCUCUCAAUAGAGUGCAGCUUGCGCCUGCCGCUGCCUGACACGGCGUCUGCCAACGUUCUGUGGAGGGUGCUGAAGGCCGAUCCUUCUCUUGCCGGAACUGUGAAGGAGGUCUACUGGUGGAGUGAGGACCCGUCUCAGCGGACCGUCGCGGUAACGAUCCAGGCAUCCUCAAAGCGCGACCUGCGCUCUGCCGUCGGAUCCCUCUUGGAUCAAGCUAAGCUUGUUGUGCGAACGUUGCGUGUGUAUCCUCCCAACACGGCUGCUGCCACUACCGUCGCCGAUGCUGGAUUGAGCACGGUAUGAGACGUGCAUUGGUGAGCCGUCUGCUCUGCUCCUUUUUCUACCUCCACCGCACCUCUUCCACACUUCUUCGUCGCGGCGCAGCUGCGCAGAGAGGCGUGAGUGUUGCCUGCGCGCGGACCGGAUCGCCUCCGCUGCCACCUGCCUGCCGCGUUUUUUUUCUUUUUUUCGCCCUUUCCACAAGUGGCGCCGGCCUUGUGCUUAUCCAUCGGUGAGUUCCACUGGGAAGACAACAACAGCAGCAACGCAGUAAGCCAGAAGAGAAAGCGAACAUCCUAAUACGAAAGUGUAAAGCAAAAAGGAAAACGUAUCGCAAACCACCUUGUCGAACUCUGUGGAGUUUCUCCUCUGCCGUGCUUCGUCGCUGCACUGCCACCUUUUCAAGCGUGUCUGUCUGUGUUGUUCCCGCCCUGCUGUCUUCCGCCGCGGCUCGGUGUGCACGCGCCCUUUAGCUCGAGUCGCAAAGACGAUAUGUUGUUGCGUAAGAAAGAAGAGUGAUGCAUUAUUGAGCCGCUGAAGGUGUGCAUCUAUCUUCCCCUCCGAGUGCUCCAUGCCCUUUGCGUCGACUUUCGCUGUUCUCGCUCUCUGCUUUUUGCUGGUGACAUUGCGCGCCUGUGCACUCCGUGCAUGCCCCCCCCCCCCUCACAUUCGCACCCGCCACACAUCUGCGGACGCGCCCUCCGCCUCUCCUGCAG